rnacentral:lncRNA from 1 species
UAGGUGUGGAGUCACUCUUAAUAGAUUUUGCAACUUGCCUUGUACCAUUAUAAACAUUACAUUAGGUUCCCUAGCUAGCUAUGAGCCUGUUCACAGCAACAACAAAUGGGUCAGCAUUCCAGCUGCACACGCACAAAAAAACGUUAUGAAUUUUCCGAGGAAUAAAAAUGUUAAUCUAUACAGGUAAAGGUUCCUCGUUCAAAACACCCCCCCAUUUCCAUUCUCCAGGACCGGUCUACCAGCGGGUAUACUUGUCUGCAAAACGUUUUUAAUCAGAUAUUUUAACAGCCUCAGUUAAGCGUUGUGUUCAACAGUGGCUCCGAUGGCGCACGGCUAUACAAAAGUAUCGUGUUCUGGUGAGUACUAAAUUACCUUAGGUCAUGACUUACAACCAGUAUGGUGUAGUCUUUCUUUAGGUCCCUCAGGAGAUUCACAACAUCAGCCCGAGCUUUCCAAUCUGAUGAUGAUGAUACAAAUUUAGUAACCACAUCUAAGAGAGCAUAUACUAUUUAAAAGAAAAACUAUUUGACACCACACAAUAUUCCUGGCAAGUCUGGGCUGUGGCACAAAGAUGACAGGAUGCACAAGCAGAAUUAUAUUAAACAACUGCUCUCGCUGAUGUGCAUUUAGAUGGGUUCACAAAUGGAUCAAUACAAGGGGAAGAAAAUAAUCUACAGAUAUUAGUUUGAUAUGGAUAUUUCAAGUACAUACCAAGUCCAGCGAGGGGCUCAUCAAGCAACAAUAAAUCAGGAGUUUGAACCUAGAAAAUAAGAAGAUAAAGGCAAAAUAUUAUCCAUCUUCACUUCUAAAAACAGAACGAUCCACCUGUCCUAAAAUAAUGAAAACAUUACCAGUUGAAUUGCCAAAGCAAGUCGCCGCUUAAACCCACCACUGAGAGACUGUGGAUCCUUAUCCAAUGAAAUGGCACUUUGACCAACCUAGCGUUAAACAAAUUAUCUUCAGAAAUCAAUUGUGUGUGGUCUCAAACUACAAAUUCACUCCGCAACGCAACAAAAUGGUAUGUAUGAGAGAUAAUCAUUACAGAGUUAAUGACAUUCUGAAGUUUUAAAGUGAGUUGCCCCCUCAAAGGAAUGUCUGCCUUUUGCCUUGGCCAUCCAAAAGUAACUUCUUCAAGUAUAGUAUCUGAUAAGAAGUACCUACAGGUUUAAAAUAUCUUAUUUUGCAGUGAAAUUUCUCAAGCACUCACAAAAAUCAUAAGCAUUCAUGCUAAUAUGUAAAAAACUUAUUAGUGAAUGUAGUAAUUCAAUGUUCAAACCUCUCAGGAAACUGAAAUACAAUACCGACUCUUUGAGGAGCUAACACUUCCGACAGACCCAUUGGAUUUCCACUAUCAUCAUACUUCUGAAUGCAAAUUGAACCAGAGGUAGGUUCUGAUAGACCGGCCAAAAGCUGAGAAAUCAAACUAUCACCUUAAGAUGAAAGAUGCAGAGUUAAACAUGUCAUGCAGCAUUUCAAUGCAAACCUGUAAAAGAGUGGUAUUUCCACUCCCACUCCGUCCAAAUAUCAAACCAAAACUGCAUGAAUUAGUUGUCUCGUCAAUACAAAAGGCAUCCAAGAAAGACAGCUAUUACAAUAUAAAACGCAUGCUUUCCUUUUCUCCCGGAGAGAGAGACUAGUUUGAUUCAAUAAGUUUCGCUCAGUUCCAGGAGGUCGGUAGCUGACUUUUCUAACCUAAACAAGUGAAAUUCAAUAUACGUCCAUGUAAUGUAAACGCAAACCAUGGUUGCACGGAUGUUAUACAACGUACGGUAUAUCUGACAGUAGCAGUUCCCCAAACAAUGGACUAUUUGUUUAACAUAUUUGAGUUACAAACAACUUGUAUUCAAUCACCAAUAUUUAUUAUCGACAUCAAAAUUUUAAUCCAGCUAUUAUGUAUGUCUCCUAUUAAAAUCCCAAUAGGCAAGGACGAAAGUACUACAUGUGCAUCAUAUACAAUAACACUGAAGGACAUAACAAAACAACAAUUCAGGAUACUUAACUACUGGAUUAUACCGAUUACGGAGUGCUACCUAGCUUUUGUGUGAUAAGAUGCUAAGAUCCUGGGCUUGAAGAUCCGUAUAAAGAUUUAGUCAGAAGAAACGUAAUGAAAUCCAGAUUUUCAACAAAAACUAGGGCCAGAGUUGAGGGAGAUUCCUCAGUUUGGUGAUUACUGAGAGUUAAACAAGUGAACUCACACAUCACAAACAACCUAUCAGAUCUAAGAGUAAUGAAUCUUACCCGCAGACAAAUGUUCGCCAACUUUAUCAACAUUAACACUACAACUAAAUUGUCUCUCUAGAUUAAAUAUAAAAAAAUUGUCGAGACAGAACUAGGAAAAAAUCCUCAUACCACAAAAGAGGGGCAAGAAAAAAAAUCACCUCCAACUGGGAGUACCCAGCUCAGACCCGUUCUGCUCGACAUCUCCAAGAAAACCUCCUGGAAACCAUCAAGGGACGCAAAGGAUAAGAGACCGAAAAAAGAUGAGAGCACACACGGUUCAAGGAUAAGAAUGGCAUGCCUUGUCAUCUUAACCGGACAAGAUGAAAUCGCAGGAGGGAAAGCGACAUGGGCGAGCAUAGUUUCUAAGUGGUGGGGAGCUUCAGGAAGCGGGACUCGAACAGACGAGGGACUGGAAAGUGCAGAAGUAUGGUCAGAUGGAAACUGAUGUGCAGCAAAGUGAAACAAAUGCCUCAGUUUCAAUUCAGGAGAACAAUGUCUCACAAAAAAGAUCAAGAGCAGGAAGAUUGCAAUUCAUCUAGUAGCAGUUCAGCUAUAAGCCCAAUGUUGUCAAUGGCAUGAUAAAGUAACAAUUAUGUAAAUUCACAUCCUAUAGUGAGAUGAGAUGAUAAAGCUACAGUUGAUGCUUACAAUCAACUUCCUCGUGAAACUUCUGAAAAUGGAGGCAGCAAGUUCAGUAUUGUCUACACUCUACAAUACCAAAGAAGCUACUGUACUUCAAACAAAAGCCUUAAGCUUCGUUGUGGUUUCUUCACAUUUCGUAACCAAGAACGAUGCUAUGUCAGGAUUACUGCUAAGUUCAGUUUUAUAACUAACAAUGACACUGCAACUGCAAAGCCAGACAAAACUACCUAGAAUAGUGCACUAACAUUGGUGUUGCUCAGUUCCGGAUUACAGAAAAUCCACCGCAUCUGCAUUGAACAGCGGCCAAACGUGCUAGCUCCUGGUGUGCAGCUAGAAAAUUUUCUCACCAGAGUCAGAAAACGCAGACUUCAGACGGACUGGGACUCGAGGUUCCAAUCCUGGCCGCCAAUGGAGCAGGGAGGAGAUGGGAGCGUCGAACGCCGCCGUCCUACUGCCACGAUGGGGAGGGCGUCGGCCCGCACUGGCUCAGCGUUGACCAGGGAAGGGCGUUGAGCAGGGAAAUCGAGGGGGCGUCGGGCGUCGCAGUCCUGNNNNNNNNNNCGUUCCGGGCAGCGGUUGGUUCAGAGUGGUGCGAUUGCCGGUGAAAACCGUGUCGACCUCGGUCAUGGCGGAUGAUGGCGGCGUCUUGUACGUCAUCUCCUUGUUGAAGGCAUCGUUGGUUGCAAUCGCCGUCACCUCGUUCUGACUGCUCUGGGGGAAACCCUAGAUCUGGAUUCCCGGAUCGAACGAUGAGGGGGCCUUCGGGGUCGUCCUCCCUCUUGGGGGCAUCAUUUUGGGGCUGGUGUUGGAACGAGAGGACAACAGGAGGAGCGUUGUUGUGUCUGCCGCAACGACGACAACGAGUAUCGGCGGCAUGGCGCAGCGGAGCCUCGACGACGAACGCGUGUUGAUGAGCGCGCACAGGUGGUGGAGCUUUUCUGGUGUUGUGGUGAAGUCGACGACAGUAUGGCCUGGCAAGCUGAAUGUGUUGGCCGCUCCUGAAGAUUGGAUGGCGGAAGAUGGUUGCGGCGGGUCCAGAGCGUGCGCAUGCGGUGCGCGCUGCAGAUCGGCCAGUCCAGGUGGUGCUCUCGGCCUAAUGCGGGGCAGCUGCAUGAGGCCAUUGGAUUAGAUAGUGCAUGUUCAUGCGGUUCGGACACAUUAUCAAGAGUAUAGGUGCUGCGACUUUAUUCGCCGGAUAGGUGACUUUGGGUUGAUCCAUGUAUUCAAGUUAUCAGACUGCAUGCAUCGAUCGAUGUAGAGGCCGGGGGUAAUCUUUUUUUUUUUUAAAAAGUUUGCCGUGAGAAGCACUUUGUCUGAAGGAUGCCUUGAUCCCCUUUUAUCUAUUGUAUGAACUCUCACGGUGGAAAGGGGGUAUGGACCAAUGGAGGGGGGAGGGAGAAAAAGGGUCAUACUUCUGAAUGCAAAUUGAACCAGAGGUAGGUUCUCAUAGACCGGCCAAAAGCUGAGAAAUCAACCUAUCACCUUAAGAUGAAAGGUACGGAGUAAAACAUAUCAUGCAACAUUUUAAUGCAAACCUGUAAAAGAGUGGUCUUUCCACUCCCACUCGUUCCAAAUAUCAAACCAAAACUGCAUGAAUUAAUUGUCUCGUCAAUACAAAAGGCGGUCAAGAAGUAUGACUGUUGAGAGAGAGAGAGUGUGUGUGUGUGUGUGUGUGUGUUUUUGAUUCAAUAAGUUUUGCUCAGUUCUAGAAAGUCGCUAGCUGACUUAAGUGAAGUGAAGUUCAAUAUGCGUCCAUGUAAAGGAAAAUCAUGAUUGCAUAAAAGUUAUACAACCUACGGUAUAUCUGACAGUAGCAGCUCCCCAAACAAAUGGAUUAUUUGUUGAACAUAUGAGUUGUGAAUGGUGGACAGAUUGGGUCGAGCAAACAAUUCGAUAAAGAGAAGAAUAGCUUAUGGCUUAGAAACAACGAGCAUUAAUAUGAAAUCCAUGGCUUGAUUCUUAAGGUGAUUCCGCACCCGAGACAUACUAUUUGAAAGCCCUUGCUUUACCAAACUGGAGCAUGAAACUUUCAACCAAAUAGGAGGGAGCCGAAAGAAGAGACAAAUGCCAACGAUCUCUAGAGAAUUAAAAAGAGGUGUGAAAAGUGUAAGGGGUCAUCUUCAACUAGUAGCUAGAGCCAUUCACUUUCAUAUUUCACUAGAAGGCCGGGCUUUGCUGCGUCAUUGGCGUUGUUGGGUUUUUCGAAAAAAUAAUCACUCUGUUUCAAAAUAUAAGUUGUAUUACCCUUUUCAAAAGUCAAACCUUUUAAGUUUAAUCAAAUUUGUAGAGAAAUAUAUCAAAAUGCAUAAUAUCACAUCUGUAUUUUUAAAUUCAUCAUGAAAUGAAUUUCCAUACUUUUUUGUUUGAUAUAGUGGAUGUCGAUAUUUUUGCUCUGAACUAGGUCAAAGUUAAAGAAAAUUUGACUUUCUACAAAACUAGUACCCUUUAUAUUUUGGAACUGGUGAAAGAUUUACUUUGCCCGGUGGGAGGGGAUGACAGUGUGUGUUUUGUUUUUGUUUAUAUACAGUGAUUUGGUGUCCUUUUCAUGGUGUGAUUACCGCCAACCAAACUAUAUUUAUGUGGGAAAAAAUUUGUGUCGAUGGUCGCAUGUACUAUUAUAUUGGUGCUAUAAUAUCACAUGGUGGUGUUUCUUUUUUCUAGUUGGUGGGAGGUGAGCGGGGUUAAUAUGUUUUUAUAGGCUGAUCGCCGCUGAUUGAUUUGAAAAAAAUCAUAGGCCCGAUGAAAAUCGUAAACCAAAUCCAAAAUUGAAUACCUUAAUUGAAUGAAAGAUCUUCAAAAUUGGGGAACAUAAUGAAUUAAAAGAAUUGAAUGUGAGAGUUUGAGAAAGUGUUGAUCCGGUCAAAAUCGAUUGACCCCAUUCUAAAAUGAAUUCCUCAAUUAAUUGUGAGACCUUAAGAAUUAGGAAGCAUGUUAUAUACAGUAUAAAAGAAUUCAAUGAGAAAGCUUUGAACAAAUGUUGACCCGGUUAAAAUCGGAUGACCCAAUUUUAGUCGAAAACCUUAAUUAAAUGUGGACUCUUUAAAACUAAAAAGCUUAGUGAUAUAGAGGAUGUUUAUGGAUGGUAGGCUUUUGGUGCCUCACAGCGAAGAAAUUAUGGUGGAUAGGUAGUUGGAGGAAGAGCCGUAGGAUAACAAUCAACAAAGUAGCAGGCAGCCGCGGCAUAAGAACAGUUAUGUUUUCUAACUUUCCCCAUCAAUUUUUCCCAAUGCUUCCUAUUCUUAAGUGGGACACACAUCAAAACUAUAUGGCUCCUAGCUUCAUGUUCUUGGCUUCUCGAUUGUUGACACGGCUGCUGCGUAUCACUUCACUAGACCAUUUUUUAUUAGAUGAGUGAAUAGUGUGUAGCGAAGACUCAAGCAUAUGGAUGAUAUAAAAAGACGGCGCAACUGCAUUAUGGUUGAAUGGGUACUUAUAGAUGUGCAAGGAAAAGGUUUGCGGGUGCAUUUCUUUUGGCGGUUUGCGGGUGCAUUUCUUUUGGCUAGUCUCUUCAAUAAUUAAGAGUACUUCUGCAUUAACUUGUGCACAUGAGCAGACGACAUGCAAAAUAUCAUUCGAUGACUAUUGACAAAUAUCCACUGGGUAAGAGCAUCUCCAGCCCUUGGCCUCCCAAGAGGCAUAAAAAUCGCCUUUUGGGAGCGAGCCGGAGAUACAAUCGGCGUUGGGGGCGGUUGGGCGUCCAGUCGUCACCCCCAGGUGUCGAGAUUGGCCCAGUUUUCGGCCCACUUUCGACGAAUAAAGGCCCUAUAUGGGCGAGAAUCGGCCCAUAUUCGGCAUGGUUCGUCGUGACUCGGCGUUCAAUUAUGAACAUAAAUAUAUUUUUAUCACAUAGUUCAUCAUAGAAAAUCAAAUAGUUGAACAAAAUAGUGCAACAACAAAUAGUUCAAUACAAAUUAUAUAGUUGAACAAAUAAAAACUCAUAUUUCAUCACACGUCGAGCCCGGCGUCGCCCUUGAGCCUCCAUAGGUACUCCACCAGAUCCUGCUUCAGUUGAUGAUGCACCUGUGGGUCUCGGAUCUCCUGACGCAUACUGAGGUAGGCAGUCCAGGUUGCCGGUAGCUGGUGAUCAACUUCGGCUAGAGGACCCUGCCUAUAGUAUGGUUCAGUGUCAAACACUGGCACUUCCUGCUCGCUCUCGAUGAUCAUGUUGUGUAAGAUGACACAGCAAGUCAUGAUCUCCCACAUUUGAUCUUUCGACCAGGUCUGAGCAGGGUAGCGGACAACAACAAAUCGAGAUUGGAGCACACCAAAAGCCCGCUCGACAUCCUUCCUGCAAGCCUCCUGCACCUUGGCAAAGUAGGACUUCUUGCCAAAUCCAGAGGUCCUGUGUGGCCACCGCCUCAAGUACCACAAUGCAACCGACUUUCGCGUAUUUGUACAUCCCCUGCCAAGCAAAUGGGUAGUUCUUCCAUUUUCAAUGCAUGCAGUCGAUGCUUCCAAGCAUCCCAGGAAAUCCUCUUGUUGCAUUCUGUGCUAGGAUCCGAGCAGUGUCUUCCGCAUUGGGUGUUUGCAAGUAUUGCGGUCCAAACACUGCCACGACUGCCCGACAGAACUUGUAGAAACACUCAAUAGUUGUCGACUCGGCCAUGCGCCCAUAGUCGUCGAGCGAAUCACCGGGAGCUCUGUAUGCAAGCAUCCUCAUCGUUGUCGUGCACUUUUGGAUCGAGAUGAAUCCAAGUUUGCCGGUGCAAUCCUUUUUGCACUUGAAGUAGCUGUCUAACUCCCGGAUGGAAUUCACAAUCCUGAGAACAAGCUUUCGGCUCAUCCGACAACGGCGCCGAAAUAUUUUGUCGCUGUGCAGUGGAGCGUCGGCGAAGUAGUCGGAGUAGAGCAUGCAGUUGCCUUAGAGAUGAUGUCGGUUCUUUGCUUUCAUCAGCCCCUGCGCCGAGCCACCUCGCCGCGGCUUUUCAUUGCUCGCCAGCAGGGCGAGCGGCGAGGACCAUGAGAUGUUUAUCUUCCUGGACGUCAGCCUCGGCUUCCUCCUCCAGCAGCGCGAUGAGCGCGUCCUCGUCGUCUGAGUCCAUCGCCGAGGCAGGCAAAUCGCCGAACACCUUGCGCCCGGUGGGCGCGUACCCGCCACUAAACUGCCCCUCCGCGGUCGAAAACGGCUUGAAAAACGCCCUGCUGCUGGUGGAGGGGCUGCCUCGGCGAACCUCUACUCUUUUCCCGGCGGGGAUUGGCUAUCUAGCGGUGAAGGAUGGUGGGCGGCGCGGGGAUAUAGUUGUUGGCGGCCGAGCGCGUGGGGGGUGGGAGGCGAGUCGGGGAAGAAAAACUUGACUUUUCGCCUGACGGUGUGGGCCGGCCGUGCUUUUCCCUUGCGCCGGAACCCCCGAGCGCCCCCCCCCCCCAGUGCGCCGGGUUCGGCCUGCGAUCGUCGGGCCCAAAAACAGGCCGAACCGGCGGAUUUCGACGUCCUGAAAGCGCGACUAGGGUGUUUUUUCGGCACCGGCGCCGAAAAAGUGGCCUGAGGAGGCCUGUUGUGGGCACAGCUAAAAAUGCUCUAAGGAGUUGAUCUUACUUAGAUUUUGCAACAUGCCAGUACUUUCGCUUUCUAAUAAAAUAAAAUAAAUAUUUACACUAGUAGAUUUCUAGCUGGCCAUGGGCAUGUGACUGCAGAACAAAUGGGUUAGCAAAUAUAGUACCCCCUUCGUAGUGAUUUAAAUGUUUUUAUAUUUCUUUAUGAAAAAAGUAACAUUCUAAUUGCACGAAAAUUUUCAUCCUAGCUGGCUGCGAAGCACAAGAAACGUGCGGCUUCAAAAAUCUCACAUCAAAACCAAGACUUGAGGUGCUGCGUGCUUGCGUCGCACCGCAUGUGGAGUGGGACACUGCAAAGUAUACCCACGUGGUUGCAUGGGCAGUGAUCUGUGCCAGUGCACCGGCCCAACUGUUGGGCCGGUCUAGCCCAAACCGUCAGAUCCAGUGCGCUUCGACCGUCCGAUCUGCUUGUUGACUUUCAUCUCCUUCGUUUUCUUCGUGCGCUGCGCAGCCGCCGCCCCCUGCUCGUGUGGAUGUCAUCCCUUCCGCCGACCGCCACCCCCUCGCCUGGAACUCCUCCCUCCGUUGGUCGCCGCCCUCGUCGCCGGUGCUCGCCGCCCUCGUCGCUGCUGCUCGCCAUCGCAGCACACAGUCCUCGCCGGUUCCAGCAAGACGGCGUCGCCAUCACGCCCAACGUCCCUAUCCUUGCAGCACUAAGCCGUCGCCGCCAUAUCACGUCCGUCGCGGCACCACCCUGUCGCCGGCCGCAACUCUGACCGUCGUCGUCGAUGCUCGCUGCUCGAGGUUGCACGAACAAAGGCCGUCCAAAUCAACGCCAUUUAGAUAGAUGUAGCAAAAACUUCGCCGGUGGUAGCAAAAAAUAGCGACGGUUGCAGCAAAAUCAUUGUCGCCGUUGUCUAGCGUCACAUCUGAGCCAUUAAUGGAUGUAGCAAAUUUUCUCGUUGGUCGUAGCAAAAGCCGACGACCGUUGCACAAAAUAACCUCCGUCGUCGUGGGGACGUAGCUCCGUCAACGAAACAUACAGCUGGAUGCAGCUUUCCAUCGUAGCAAAAAUGUGUCGUUGAAUGGAUGUAGAAAAAAAAGCAUCGGUCAUAGCAAAAAAUGACAACGUUUGCAGCAAAUCAUCGUCGUCGGUGGCACGAGGUCACAGCUCCGCCGUGAUGGAUGUAGCAAAAACCCUCGCCGGCAGUAGCAAAAUCUAUCUAUGGUUGAAGCUUUUUUAGUUGGGCAGUGCCGAUUGAAGCUUUUCUAUCUAUGGUUGAAACUUCUUUCAACUGUGGUUGAAACUUUUCUAGAUCACGGAUGCAGCACUGUAUACACGCGGUUCCGGCCAUGACAGCAGGUAGCUGUGGCAUCUCUGCUAUCCUAGCAGCAGGCAGUCGUUGCAGUUUGAUGACAACAGUAGUUUCAGCACCGUCGGUCAUCUUUACGUCGGCCCCGAUCCAUGCCGUUUGAAGCACCGGUGCAAGCAGCUAGGAGUAAAAACAUCAAAGCUUCGUCGUUCAUGACGAGGAAGAAAGAAGGCUGCGAGGGAAAGAAAGGACAGGAUGCGGAGAAGAAGAUAAAGUUGUUUGAAAAAAAUAUUAUAUGUGAGCCUGCCUAUGUCUAGCGCGGGGGAUCGCUAGACCCACAAUCAAAAGGGAUCGCACGACCCGCACGGGUCCCGCCGAAAGCUUCGGCCGGUCUGCCGGCUGGAAACAUUUCCCUGGUUGCAUUGCAUGGGAGCAUGUCAUGCGUGACUUGUUUUGCGCAGAGAAGGAACGAAACAAGAGUCUGCACGCACGGCCGGUGAACGAAACAAAAGUCUCUCGCGUCGACCCGUCCACACAGCACAGCGGCUUUGCAAAUUCACUCCGCUGACUUCCAAACAGCACCGCGGUUGGGAGGCCGACCACGCGAGCUUCAAGUCUCCGAGGACUAAAAGGUGGUCGGCGCCGGCACUGGACUAGCACCAGACCGUCUCCGUAGGCCGGACAGGUAUUCAGAGACCGUACGUACAUUUGCAAUUUUGCGUGCGUGCUUCGUAGAGUUCUCAAAAGAUCAAGAUCGAAGAGCACGCACGUUUGCUUCCUGGAAUGGAGAAUCGCGGCGCCCGCUGCACAGCUUGUUUGUCGCCAGUGUGGUGGCUCUUGUUUUUUUUUAUUUGCAAAAAUAACUCAGAUCUAUUAUUAAAGUACAAAGCACCUCAAACAUAAUAAAGUUUACAUCAAAAUAUUAAGACUAUCGAACGAUUACUAUCACUGUCAAAACGAGCCGCUGAUGCGUCAUCGUCAUGGCUCUCGUUGACUUAAGAUCUUCGCCGCACGCUUCGUGCGGUGCGCCGAUGCAGCGUGGCCCAUGCCGUAAAAGCAGAAAUAUCACAAGUAUGGCCGUGUCUUGGGCAGCCAUCGGACAUGCAACACCUUUAAUGUUGCUUUACGUCUAAUAUUGGUGAAACAAACCUCACGGCAAUGUAUUUUUCUUGUGUUUUGGAUGUGUGUGUACGGAAGAACAAUCAACGUGGGGCAAGUCAUCUGAAAAAAUUAUUUUCGUCAGUCAAUUCCUAUCAACCGUUGGAUAGUACAAAAACAAAGGUCAAGAUUGCAUCUUCAACCUCCUGCUGCUUGCUUCUUCAACUUCAAACUGCCUCGUUGCCGCCUGCUUCCGCCGCCCGCGGCCCGCAGCGCUUCGCGCACACUCGCCACACCGCCCUCCCCCAACCACGGCCCACCGUCGUGCUGCUGUCCAUCCAUCUAGCCCCGAUGCCGAUGGAGAUUUUUCCCGGCGACCUUGCACUACCGCCGUGCUGCCACCCCCACCACCGCUGCCCUCCGGCGAACUUCUUCGCCCUUCUAAAAAUCGACUGACCCAAAACCGAAGUCGGUGAACUGAUGACAUUUAGCUAAUGUGUCUAUUGACCCAAAACCGAAGUCAAUCAACUUGUGACAUUUAGCUAAUGUGUCUAUUGACCCAAAACCGAAGUCAGUCGACUGACAUUUAGCUAAUGUGUCUAUUGUUUGUUCAAGUGUCUGUUCAAGAAGCCUUUCUUUCUUCUUUGUUCUUCUUCGUGUUGGCUUGUCCGUACCCGAAACAGAACAUGUAAUUCUUGUUCUGCUCGUUCUGGAAGGUUUUGGAAGUUGCGGAAUCAAUCCCGCCUAGGGCCCUCAUCUUUCGUAAGGUUCUAUGAUGCCGAAUCAAUCCAUCUUGUGGCCUGCAUCUUGUAAUAAUCACGGUAAAUGCUGAAUCAGGCCCGUACUAAAUGAUGUUAAACACGUCGGAUGCUAUGAUGGCCAAUCGCCAUGUUCCUCCCCGUUCCAAAUACACGUAAUAUCUUGCCCUCUCAUGUUCGGCAUUAAUGGAGAAAAUGAUGAAUGCGGUCAGGACUUCAGUGGUACCCAUUCCGGCAAGAUUUACCGCAUUCCAGAUCCGUGGGGUUUUGAUUUCGGGAUCAGCUAGAGCUAGAAGCAGAAAACACGUGUUUGCAAUCUACCCUUGUCUUAUGUUUUUUCAUGUUUUUUGUGGUAUCUCCUGGCGGGUUUUCCCUAGUAUAUCGGACGUACCAGUGAACUAUUAAGCCGUAAAAAGAUGACUUGCAUUCGUGCAUAAUCCAUGGUUUCUUGCAAACUGUUUGCUUGUAUUUUUCACUAGAGAAACUCAAAUGAUGCAUGGUUUCUUGAAAUUAGUAAGUGUUUUAAAAUACAAGUGAUCUUUGGGGAACUCGCAUUUCACAAGCACUCAACAUUGGAGAUACUAGGCUUGGCACGCAUAUGCUCACCCGUCACUAAACACUUCCCCUGGAUUUGGAAGCAACGGGCCACGAUGUGUCUCCGGUGUGUAGCUAUAUCCCACUAGCUUUCAUAUGUCUCAUCGAAUGAUCGGAGAGGGGAAUUUCCACAAGAAUAACACAUGAAGGGACGAGCGAGCUGAGCACAGGGAUGAGUUGCUUGUUGAGAAGCUCGAUGCUCCUUGUGCUGGCAUAUCCGGCCGCGGAAGGAAUAUCAUGGCCAAAUCAAGAGGAUGGCCAAGUUGUUGGGGUAAAAGGUGUAGACGACCACUGGAGUAAUCGGCAAGAUGCCGGAGCAUGAGAAUAGUGUCGUUUUCUAUCCUUCUCCAUCAAAUUUCCCCAAUGCAUCUGAGGGAGUCCUGGAUUAGGGGGUGUUCGGAUAGCCGGACUAUACCUUCAGCCGGACUCCUGGACUAUGAAGAUACAAGAUUGAAGACUUCAUCUCGUGUCCGGAAGGGAUUUUCCUUAGCGUGGAAGGCAAGCUUGGUGAUACGGAUAUAUAGAUCUCCUACCAUUGUAACCGACUUUGUGUAACCCUAACCCUCUCCGGUGUCUAUAUAAACCGGAGGGUUUUAUUCCGUAGGACAACAUACACAACAACAAUCAUACCAUAGGCUAGCUUCUAGGGUUUAGCCUCUCUGAUAUCGUGGUAGAUCUACUCUUGUACUACCCAUAUCAUCAAUAUUAAUCAAGCAGGACGUAGGGUUUUACCUCCAUCAAGAGGGCCCGAACCUGGGUAAAACUUCGUGUCCCCUGCCUCCUGUUACCAUCCGGCCUAGAUGCACAGUUCGGGACCCCCUACCCGAGAUCCGCCUGUUUUGACACCGACAUUGGUGCUUUCAUUGAGAGUUCCUCUGUGUCAUCGCCGUUAGGCUCGAUGGCUCCUACGAUCAUCAAUAGCGAUGCAGUCCAGGGUGAGACCUUCCUCCCAGGACAGAUCUUCGUCUUCGGCAGCUUCGCAUUGCGGGCCAAUUCACUUGGCCAUUUGGAGCAGAUCGAAAGCUAUGCCCCUGGCCGUCGGGUCAGAUUUGGAAGUUUAAACUACACGGCUGACAUCCGCGGGGACUUGAUCUUCGACGGAUUCGAGCCACUGCCGAGCGCGCCGCACUGUCACGACGAGCAUGAUCUAGCUCUGCCGCCGAACAGUGCCCUGGAGGCCGCACCCGCAUCGGCUUCGACCCUUAAUUCGGAGCCAACUGCGCCGAUCGAGGAUGGGUGGUUGGACACACCAUCAGGGGCUGCGAUCCCAACGGCGAUCGAGCCGAACACCAGCCCCGCACUCCGCGGGACUCAUGACUCCAAGGAGCCGGACUCCUCUCCGAACUCCGAACCCCUCACGCCCCUGCCGAUCGAAUCCGAUCGGGCGUCGAUCAUGGAGUUUACUGCCGCGGACAUCUUUCAGCACUCGCCUUUCGGUGAUAUUCUGAAGACACUAAAGUAUCUCUCUUUAUCAGGAGAGCCCUGGCCGGACUAUGGUCGGCAAGGUUGGGAUACGGACAAUGAAGAAAUUCAAAGCCCACCCACCACCCACUUUGUAGCCACUAUCGACGAUUUAACCGACAUGCUUGACUUCGACUCCGAAGACAUCGACGGUAUGGACGCCGAUGUAGGAGACGAUGAAGAACCAGCGCCUAUCGGGCCCUGGAAAGCCACCUCGUCAUAUGACAUAUACAUGGUGGACACCCCAAAAGAAGGAGAUGGCGAUGGAACAGCGGAGGAUGACCCCUCCAAGAAACAGCCUAAGCGCCGACGUCAGCGGCGCCGCUCAAAAUCCCGCCAAAACAAAUACGGUGAUUCCAGCACGGGAGAUAAUAAUACUCCGGAGAGUGCCGAAGAAAACCCCCUCUAGCAAGAUUCAGCACAGGAGGAUGGAGAAACCGGCCCUCAUGAGAGAGCGGCAGACAGAGAGGUCAAGGACGAUAAUCAUAUGCCUUCCUCCGAAGACGAGGCAAGCCUCGACGACGACGAAUUCGUCGUGCCAGAGGAUCCCAUCGAGCAAGAGCAUUUUCAACGCAGGCUUAUGGCCACGGCAAGAAGCCUCAAGAAAAAACAGCAACAGCUUAGAGCUGAUCAAGAUUUGCUAGUCGACAGAUGGACUGAAGUCCUUGCGGCCGAAGAGCAUAAACUCGAACGCCCCUCCAAGAGCUACCCAAAGCGCAGGUUGCUACCCCGAUUAGAGGAGGAAGCACUUGAUACGGCCGACCGGCCACCUCGUGGCCGCGACAGAGAGGCCUCUCGGCCCUCCACUCAAGCCGCACUCCGUACCAAGGCACGGGAAAAUGCGUCAGACCUACGAGAUAUGUUGGAGGACAAGGCAAGGCAAAAAAGAUCGAUCUACGGAUCGCGCGGGCGCCCCACGACUCGAGACAAUAACCAUCACGCCGGACAUAAAUCCGGUGGGGCCGAACACAGUAGACAAAGCUCAUUGGAGCUACGUCGUGAUAUAGCCCAGUACAGAGGCGUCGCACACCCACUAUGCUUCAUAGACGAAGUAAUGGAUCAUCAAAUUCCCGAGGGUUUCAAACCCGUAAACAUCGAAUCAUAUGAUGGCACAACAGAUCCUGCGGUAUGGAUCGAGGAUUAUCUCUUCAUAUCCACUUGGCCCGCGGCGAUGAUCUCCACGCCAUCAAAUACCUCCCACUCAAGCUUAAAGGACCAGCUCGGCAUUGGCUUAACAGCUUGCCAGCAGGAUCAAUCAGUUGUUGGGAGGACCUGGAAGCCGCAUUCCUCGACAAUUUCCAGGGCACUUAUGUGCGACCACCAGACGCCGAUGACCUAAGCCACGUAAUUCAGCAGCCAGAGGAAUCAGCCAGGCAAUUCUGGACAUGGUUCCUAACAAAGAAAAAUCAAAUAGUCGACUGUCCGGACGCAGAGGCCCUAGCAGCCUUCAAGCACAAUAUCCGUGACGAGUGGCUUGCCCGGCACCUAGGACAGGAAAAGCCGAAAUCUAUGGCAGCACUCACGACACUCAUGACCCGCUUUUGCGCGGGAGAAGACAGCUUGCUUGCUCGUAGCAACAAUAUGACCAAGAACCCUAGUAAUUCGGAUACCAGGGACAGUAGUGGCAGGUCGUGUCGCAACAAGCAGAAGCACCGCAUUAAUGGCAACAAUACUGAGGAUACGGCAGUUAAUGCCGGAUUCAGAGGCUCUAAAUCCGGUCAGCGGAAAAAGGCAUUCAAAAGGAAUCCUAGGGGCCCAUCCAGUUUGGACCGAAUACUCGACCGCUUGUGCCAAAUACAUGGCACCCCCGAAAAGCCGGCCAAUCACACCAACAGGGAUUGUUGGGUGUUCAAGCAGGCAGGCAUGUUAAAUGCCGAAAAUGACAAGGGUCUGCAUAGCGAUGACGACGAAGAGCCCCGGCCGCCGAACAACAGUGGACAAAAGGGUUUUCCCCCACAAGUGCGGACAGUGAACAUGAUAUACGCAACCAACGUCCCCAAAAGGGAGCGGAAGCGCGUGUUAAGGGACGUAUACGCGGUAGAGCCAGUCGCCCCAAAGUUCAACCCAUGGUCCUCCUGCCCGAUCACCUUUGAUCGAAGGGACCAUCCCACUAGCAUCCGUCAUGGCGGAUUCGCCGCAUUGGUUCUAGACCCAAUUAUUGACGGAUUUCAUCUCACUAGAGUCCUUAUGGACGGCGGCAAUAGCCUGAACCUGCUUUACCAGGAUACAGUGCGGAAAAUGGGCAUAGAUCCCUCGAGGAUUAAGCCCACCAAAACGACCUUCAAAGGCGUAAUACCAGGUGUAGAGGCCAACUGUACAGGCUCAGUCACACUUGAAGUGGUCUUCGGAUCUCCGGAUAAUUUCCGAAGCGAGGAGUUAAUCUUCGGCAUAGUCCCAUUCCGCAGUGGCUAUCACGCACUAUUCGGGCGAACCGCAUUUGCCAAGUUCAAUGUGGUACCGCACUACGCAUACCUUAAGCUCAAGAUGCCAGGCCCUCGAGGAGUAAUUACGGUCAAUGGAAACACCGAACGCUCCCUCUGAACGGAGGAGCACACGGCGGCCCUUGCAGCGGAAGUACAAAGCAGCCUCUCCAGGCAGUUCUCCAGUCCGGCCAUUAAACGUUCGGACACCAUCAAGCGCGUCCGGAGUAACCUACAACAAGACCGCCUGGCACAUUCCAAGCAGGCGUAGCAAUGCAGCCCCAACCCCAGCCCUCGCAAAAAUGCGACACCAGUGCUUCGCGCACAUAACUACGAUCUAGAAAUACCAUGGGUACAGGGGGAGGGGAACCAUCAUGGCAUGCCCGAAACACGGCUUAAACCGCACCAGGGGCUGCCAAUUUUUUAAUUUUCUCUUACUUUUAGGACUCCAUUCUUCGGAAGGCCUGUUCGGCAGUUCAAUUGUCGCACAAACAAUGCAAGAACCAGGGAAGCAGACAAGCCAUGCCGCAUUACAGAACUCCCAGGUGGUCUCUAUCACGAGCAGUAUACCUGUUUCGCAUACCAUUCCGCAGCCUGCCCCUGGAACGGACAUGUUAAAUAGUCCAACCUUUUGCUUACCGCAUUAUUUGUAUCGUUCUGCUUUGAUCGCAGCCCUUUUUAAUAAACAAUGCAUAGCUUUUGUCUAUUUUUGCAUUACUCUUUUUCUAUAAAUAUAUGUUCCUUAACGACAUGUUGCACCCGUACACUUUGGUACGGCCAAAAUACGCCAGGGGCUUUAGUACCCCUCAAUACGGUGUGAAAAGUCCGAACACUUUGACAAGUGUGGCACCCCGAACUUAUAGCAUUAUAUGCAUCGGCUCCGAAUCAUGUCUUGGGUCAAUAGUUGGGUUUGCCUGGCUCCUAUGUUUUGGUGCCUUACGUUCCGAUAUAUCGGCUAAGGUAGCACUAGGAGAACCACUGCGAUUGUGCCCCAGUUGAGCUGGGUCGAGCACCUCAAUGGAGAAAGCUAAAACUGACUGUCAUGAUGAAGCGAGAGCUGGUCGUUGUUCGAGAGGUUUUUCGAGUCCCUAAAGACUUAUGCCGCUUAGAGCGAGGAGUCGGCUCUGUCCGGCCAAGGCGUGGAUAGCGCCCUGAACUCGGUCUUUCAAAUACCAGGGGCUUCGUCGAAAUUUAAAAUUAUAGAAUUUUAUGGCUAAGUGAGAGUGUUCACGCAUUAUAGUCUGAUUGCCUUGUUCGUUGGGCUGAGCGCCUCCCUCGAAGGACCCAAACAUGGGGAAAAGAGCGCUCAGGUUUAUCCCCGAACACCCCAGCACUAGUGGCACGGGGGCAGAAGCCGACGACUCGCCAUCUCUUAGAAUUGAUAAACAGUCGCAUAGAAGGUAAUAUUUUAAAUUCCAACAGCAUUGCUUAGCGCAUAUGAACAAGUUUUCAGCGCACAGGACAAAAUGAGUAAGUUUCACUCAAAAAUUACAUCCCUAGAACAUUCACCCGCCACAAGGCAGGCACCCUUCAGAACAUCCUUAUAGUAAUUCUCGGGCUUGCGAUGCUCUUUCCCCGGCGGUGGCCCGUCCUUCACAAGCUUCUCAGCAUCCAGGUUGCCCCAGUGCACCUUAGCACGGGCAAGGGCCCUACGGGCACCUUUAAUGCAGACGGAGCGCUUGAUGACUUCGAGCCUCAGACAGCCCCCACCAGCCGCCGCACCAGCCCGAAAUAGCUCCCAGGCAGAGCCUCUCCAGGCCACAGCCGAACUAUGAGGCCCUUCAUGGCUUGUUCUGCUGCCUUGUGGAGCUCGACCAGUUGCUUCAGCUGGUCGCUCAGGGGCACGGGGUGUCCGGCCUCAAUAUACUGAGACCGGAACACCUUCUCUGUCGAGCUGCCCUCCUCGACUCGAUAGAAUGCGGCAGCAUCGGACACACUCCGGGGAAGAUCUGCGAACGCUCCUGGAGAGCUCCGGAUUCGGGUAAGUAACAAGUAAAUCACGUUUAUGUGUUUGCUUUGCAUAAAGAAUGCCUUACCCGCCGCUAUCUUCUUCACCUCAUCCAAUUCCUGGAGGGUCUUCUGGGAUUCGGCCUUGGCAGACUUGGCAUUUUCAGUAGCCGCCGCGAGCUCGGACGCUCGCGUCUUUGAGUCAAGCUCCAAACUCUCAUGUUUUUUCAUGAGAACCUGGAGCUCUUGUUGUAGCUUGCCAACCUAGGCCUCGUACUUCUCCCGCUCGGUGCGCUCCGUGGUCGCCCUCUUCUCGGCCUCGACCAGCGCUUGCUUAAGGGUCGCCACCUCAGACGUGGCCCCUACAAUAGCCACGAUAAUCCUGUCAUUUUUUGCAAUUGCACCUUUUUAUAUAUAUUUAAAUAAGGUAUUUCUUACCUUCAUUGUCCUCGAGCUGCUUCUUGGCACGCCCGAGCUCUUGCUCGGACCGCUCGAGGUUCUGCUUUAGCGUGUCGGCGGACGCCAGCAGGGAAGCCUGCAUACGCAUAUCGACUCUUUUUUGUUAGACUCCUGCGAAUUUUGAUCCUCUAUUCGGCUUUUCUUCCCGAACGCCAAACAGAGCAUUAGGGGCUACUGUCUAUGCGGUAAUAUUAUUUACACAUUCUUUACUUACCUCAAAUCCUGUUAAAAGGCUAGUACAAGCUUCAGUCAGUCCGCUCUUGGCGGACUAAACCUUCCAGACCACCGCACUCAUAAUGGUGCGGUGCUCCUCAUCGAUGGAGGCGCCUUGGAGUGCCUCCAACAGAUUGUCCGGCGCCUCCGGUUGGACGGGGGUCACCGGCACGGUGGGCUUGCUCCUCUUGGAAGGAGGUCCCCCGCCGGACUCUGGAACCUUUGAAGGUUCCGGAGCGGUGUCCGGCCUAGAGCCGGACUUGGAGCCCUGGGGGGCUUUAUCCCCUUUACUCCUGGAGUUCGGGAGGUCGCCUUGCGGUGCCUCCAGGACCUCCUCCUCCCGGCUUGGAACCCGUUGAGACAACACUUCAGCGUCGUCCGUAGGGCGGGGGGAGGAAGCCGUCGGAAGCGAAUUCACAUCCGACGAGUCCAGUGAACCGCUCGACGAUGCGUCGAGCCGGUCUUUGGGUGGGCUGCAUAAUCAUAUUCGACAUAAGGGAAAGUUGUGCAAUAAAGGAAUACUAUGAAUUACUCUGGUAUCCGGAUACUUAUGAUUUCGCUAGGGGCUUGGCCCUGAGCGGUCACUCUUCUCCGCCGUCAUCGACAUCGGUGGACUAGUCCGGAGGAAGGGUUUUCCCCUUCUUGGAUCCUUCGGCCUCCCUAGAGAGGGCGGCCUUUCUCUUCUUCUAUCCCCCCGCUGGAGGGGGAGAGGUCUCUUCUUCUUCCUCCUCGUCUUCACGGGAGGAAUGCGCCUCAGAUCCGUCGGAUGAUAAACCCGACACCUCCUGGCGCCGGGCACUCUUUCGAGUCCCCGUGGCCUUCUUUGUGGCCUUCUUCUCUGGCGCCACAUAGGGUGCCGGAACCAGCAGCUUUGCCAAGCGAGCAUCGGCUGGGUCUUCGGGCAAGGGAGCCGGACAGUUGAUCUGUCCGGACUUCGCCUGCCAAGCCUGUCAAAGGUAAGGGAGGUUAGAUCCCGCAUAGAUUCAAACUAUGAAAAACUAAUACUCUGUAAAAGGUACAAACAACUUACCACGCUAGCGUGACGCUGCGCGCUAAAUCCGCGAUCCUCGGUAGCGGAUGCGGGAGCCUCGGCGCCCUUGAAGAGCACCUUCCAGGCAUCUUCAUACGUCGUGUCGAAGAGCCUGUUCAGAGUUCGGUGCUGCGCCGGGCUGAACUCCCACAGAUUGAAGGCCCGUUGUUGACACGGGAGGAUCCGGCGGAUGAGCAUAACCUGGACUACGUUGACAAGCUUGAGAUGCUUGUCCACCAGGGAUUGGAGGCAUGUUUGCAGUCCAGUCACCUCUCCUUUUCUGCCCCACGACAGGCCCGUCUCUUUCCAGGACGUGAGCCGCAUUGGGGGUUCGGACCGGAACUCGGGGGCUGCGACCCACUCAGAGUCGCGCGGCUCGGUGAUGUAAAACUACCCCAAUUGCCACCCCUUUAGGGUCUCCACAAAGGAGCCCUCGAGCCAUAAGACGUUGGGCAUCUUGCCCACCAUGGCGCCUCCGCACUCCGCCUGGUUGCCGCACACCACCUUCGGCUUGACAUUGAAAGUCUUGAGCCAUAGGCCGAAAUGGGGGCGGAUGCAGAGGAAAGCCUCGCACACGACGAUAAACGCCGAGAUGUUGAGGAUGAAGUUCGGGGCCAGAUCAUGGAAAUCUAGGCCGUAGUAGAACAUGAGUCCCCGGACAAAUGGGUGGAUCAGAAAGCCCAGUCCGUGGAGGAAGUGGGGAAGGAACACUACCCUCUCAUGGGGCCUUGGUGUGGGGAGGAGCUGCCCCUUUUCGGGAAGCCGGUACGCGAUGUCGUUAGACAGGUAUCCGGCCUUCCACUUGCCUCCCGCUCCGGACAUGGCUGGAGAAGGUUGAGGUGGGGAGUGCGGACUUGGGUGCUGGAGCUCGAGUGCGCGAGAGUGGAUAGGCAAAGGAGGAAGAAGGCGUAGGUGAAAAGGUGGAUCAUUAUCCCCUUAUAUGGGUGGACGCAACUACGUGUCCCCACCAGCCUAGUAAAACUCGCUUAUCUCCAAGCGCCGUAAUCAAUGGCGCGGUUGGGUUACCCACGCCCGUAUUGAUGAGAAUCCCGGAAUAAGGGGACACGAUCUCUGCUUUAACAAGACGUGCCAAGGAAACCGCCUCGCAUGACGCGCUGAGGUGGGAUAAUGAAACGACUCGGAUAAAGGCUUGGUCGUGGUGUGUCGCACUACGGAAUACGUUAGCAGAUUAGAUUUGUGUAAAUAUUAUUCUCUCUAUGGCAAUAUGUGGAAACUUAUUUUACAGAGCCGGACACUAUCUUUGUGUUCAAAAUCUUCUAUGAAGUACUUGGAGGAGGAACCCGCCUUGCAAUGUCGAAGACAAUCCGCGCGCCGGACUCGUCGUCAUUGAAGCCUGGUUCAGGGGCUACUAAGGGAGUCCUGGAUUAGGGGGUGUUUGGAUAGCCGGACUAUACCUUCAGCCGGACUCCUGGACUAUGAAGAUACAAGAUUGAAGACUUCGUCCCAUGUCCGGAAGGAACUUUCCUUGGCAUGGAAGGCAAGCUUGGCGAUACGGAUAUACAGAUCUCCUACCAUUGUAACCGACUUUGUGUAACCCUAACCCUCUUUGGUGUCUAUAUAAACCGGAGGGUUUUAGUCAGUAGGACAACAUACACAACAACAAUCAUACCAUAGGCUAGCUUUUAGGGUUUAGCCUCUUUGAUCUCAUGGUAGAUCUACUCUUGUACUACCCAUAUCAUCAAUAUUAAUCAAGCAGGACGUAGGGUUUUACCUCCAUCAAGAGGGCCAAAACCUGGGUAAAACUUUGUGUCCCCUGCCUCCUGUUACCAUCCGGCCUAGACGCACAGUUCGGGACCCCCUACCCGAGAUCCGCCGGUUUUGACACCGACAGCAUCCCAUUCUUAAGACACACAUCAAAACUCUGGUUCCUAGUUACAUGUUCUUCCAUUUUGGCUUCUCCUUAUUUAAAAUGGCUACUAUGUAUCAUUCCACUAGACCUUUUUCUCUCCUCGGUGCUUUGCUUGGGUCGUUACCACAACCACUUCGCUAUUGUAGAUGGUUUGAUGAAUCAAUAUUAUGCACCGAAGACUCAAAUAUGGGUGGUAUAUAAAGAUAGCAAAAAGUGCAUUCAUGGUCGAGGAGUUGCGCACUGAAAGGUUCAUGGGUGCAUUUCAUUCGGUCAGACUCUUCAAAUUACUUUAACUGAGAGCACCUCUGUAUUUGUGCACAUGAAUAGAGCAUACGUAAAGUAGCAUCCUACUAUUAUAGACAAACAUCCAGCGAGUGUAGAGUCACUCCUAAUAGAUUUUGUAUCAUGCCAUUAUACUAUUUGACCAAAGCAGAGAGCUAGGUUACAACAUGUACGAGAGUCAACACAUGAGCUCUCUCUCUCUCCCGAAACCCAUCUAGGGUUAGGCCGCCUCCAGCCUCUCCCUACCGCCAUCGAAUCACCACCGAACAAAGCCCGGGCGGGGGGAGGAUGGCAGCGAUGGGGCAUCCCUCCCACAUAGUUAUGGGCGUGGUUGCAGCGGCUCUCGUGUGGCGUCCAGGUGGAGAUGGUGGUGACCUUGGCUGGCGGUGUUGGCCCGUGGUGGAGGGCACCUCAUCUUCGGUAACUUCGGCCGGCGCAGCGGCUUCCUGGAACAGUACAUUGGCUAUUGAAUGUUGUGGCAUUCACGACGGCAUCCUGAGCAGUCAUAUUUGGCACAUCGGCUCAGUUGGCGGUGAGGUCGGUGCCUCCCUCAUUGUGGCGGCGCCCUCAUCACUCAGGAAGUGUUUGUGCUAGUGUGGGGGUGGCGACACUUGCAGGUCUUCCCGCAUUCGUUUGGCAAUGUGGGGGUGCGGAGGAAGAUUUGCUCCGGACAAAAGUUGACAUUGCGACGCCUGCGGAGGUCACACUCCGCCUGGGGGUCAUUAUCGAGCUCUUCUACAUCCUCAGCUCUCGGGUCACAUCUUCGGGUCAAGGUCGAGUGGCGCGAGAUUCCCUCUUGAGGGUGUCGCCUUGAAGUUUGUUGUACCCUGGGUGCUUUCCUAGGGCUGGACUAGCACGACAUCGUGGCCAAGGUGGAGCAUCGUAGCAUCUACCGCAUCGACGACAAUGAGUCUCAGUGGUGUGGUGCUGUAGGGGCUCUAUUGGGAAACGUAGCAUGGAAAACAAAAAAAUUCUACGCUCACGCAAAGAUCUAUCCGUGGAGAUGCAUAGCAACGAGGGGGAGAGUGUGCCCAUGUACCCUUGUAGACCGAAAGCGGAAGUGUUUGACAACGCGGUUGAUGUAGUCGAACUUCUUCUAGCUCCGACCGAUCAAGCACCGAACGUACGGCACCUCCAAAUUCUGCACACGUUCAGCUCGGUGACAUCGCCUUAUUGAUCCGGCAAGGUGUCGAGGUUGUAGAUGAGUUCCGUCAGCACGACGGCGUGGUGACGGUGAUGGUGAAGUGAUUCGUGCAGGGCUUCGCCUAAGCACCGCGAGAAUAUGACGGGGGGUGUAAACUAUGGAGGAGGCGCCACACACGGCUAACAAUUGAUGUUCUAUAUGCUAGGCGCCCCUCCUCAUAUACAUAGGUGGGAGGGAGAGGGGAGAGGCCAAGGGGUGCCCUAAGUGGGGCCGAAACCCACUUGGGCUCCUGCCCUGGUCCCCCCCUUCCUUGUAUAGGCGCCAGGGGAAGGAAGGGGGAGGUGGCGCCCCCCUUCCUUUCUCCCCUGAGGAGGGGAAGGAAUGAGGGACUUGCCCUCCCACUUUUCCGUUCCCUAGGGCUGGCUGGCCUGGUGGAGGGGCACACCAGCCCCUUCUGGGCUGGUCUGUCCCUCCCUUGGCCCAUUAAGCCCAUAUCUUUGCCGGGGGUGCCCGGAACCCCUUCCGGUGACCCUAUAUGUACUCGGUACCCUCCGGAACACUUCCGGUGUCCGAAUACCAUUGUCCUAUAUAUAUCAAUCUUUACCUCUUGACCAUUUCAAGACUCCUCGCCAUGUCUGUGAUCUCAUCUGGGACUCCGAACAACAUUCGGUCACCAAAUCACAUAACUCAUAUAAUACAAUAUCGUCAUCGAACGUUAAGCGUGCGGACCCUAUGGGUUCGAGAACUAUGUAGACAUGACUGAGACACCUCUCCGGUCAAUAACCAAUAGUAGAAUCUGGAUGCUCAUAUUGGCUCCUACAUAUUCUACGAAGAUCUUUAUCGGUCGAACAGUUAUGAGAACAUACGUUAUUCCCUUUGUCCAUCGGUAUGUUACUUACCCGAGAUUCGAUCGUCAGUAUCUUCAUACCUAGUUCAAUCUCGUUACCGGCAAGUCUCUUUACUCAUUCUGUAAUACAUCACCUAGUGACCAACUCCUUAGUCAUUUGCUUGCAAGCUUAUGAUGUGUAUUACCGAGAGGGCCUAGAGAUACCUCUCCGUUACUCGGAGUGACAAAUCCUAAUCUCGAUCUAUGCCAACCCAACAAACACCUUCGGAGAUACCUAUAGAGCAUCUUUUUGAUCACACAGUUACGUUGUGAUGUCUGAUAUCACACAAGGCAUUCCUCUGGUAUCCGGGAGUUGCAUAAUCUCAUAGUCGAAGGAAUAUGUAUUUGACAUUAAGAAAGCAAUAGCAAUAAACUGAACAAUCAUUAUGCUAAGCUAACGGAUGGGUCUUGUCCAUCACAUCAUUCUCCUAAUGAUGUGAUCCCGUUAUCAAAUGACAACUCAUGUUCAUGGUCAGGAAACCUUAACCAUCUUUGAUCAACAAGCUAGUCAAGUAGAGGCUCACUAGGAACAAAGUGUUUGUCUAUGUAUUCACACAUGUAUUUAGGUUUUCGGUCAAUACAAUUCUAGCAUGAAUAAUAAACAUUUAUCGUGAAUAAGGAAAUAUAAAAUAACAACUUUAUUAUUGCCUCUAGGUCAUAUUUACUUCAGGCUCGACGGAGGAUGUGUGAUGAUGGACACACGCAUGGCGGUGGCGAUGUUUGGUGCCAUGGCGCCAUUGACGGCUGGCCGGUCUAGCAAGGAUGAUGCAGAUUUCUUCUUGGAUAUGGAUCAUCGGUUCGAUGGUGGUGGUGGCUUCUGAGGUGUGUGCAUGUGGUGUACACUUUGGGUUAGUUGCACCGGGUGUAUGCUCCUGGUACAUCAUGCGAGCGGAUAGGAGUUCUAGAUGUUGGGGAGUGAUGACACUCCCCAUUAUUAAGUGUGUAAGUGUGAGUGGUGGACUCGGGUUGUUUUAUGUAUGUUCUUGUCAGACCUUUGUUGAAUAAUUGAAUAAAGAUGGAUGUGUGCAUCUAUUUAUGCCGAGGCUUGGGGUUUCAACCUCCUUUUUGAAAAAACUAUUUGACCAAAUCAAUGAGGCCAUACAUGGGUAUUCAACUAGGAGAGAAAUGUGAGUAAACUCCAUGCAAUGCAUUCAACAACAAAGAACGUCGCGUGAAUAACGGCAUCGACAGGUUCAACCAAUGAAGGUUGUACCUAGAGUUCUACCCCUAGAACUUGAGAUCAUGCACUCAUAGAGCACCACCAAGUCGAUGUUGCCCUAUGCGGCCAUCACCUACUGAUCCGUCAUUGCACAGCGGCGUAGACGCACAAUCCAAACGUGGACCUAGCCACAAAGAUAGAACCAUGUCCAUCCAACACUUGCUACUGAGAAGCACAUAAGAAUGCCCGUCAUCCCCGCCGAUCCCAUGCCACUAAAGGCCUGACUACCGACACAGAGCCAAUUUGGACCACUCACACCGAGCACCUUGGCCAAGGGUGGAAUCCCGGCAUCAAGCAAAAGUUGAGUCGCCACAUGUCAUCUUGGACCAUGUAGAGCACUCAAAAUCUCCGCAUCGAGCGGGAGACAUCCAUUGUCUGAAGCACGCCGCCAUGAACCUUGAAUAAGAGGCUAAACCCAUUGAUCUUACGCCUCGCAGAGAUGGUUAGCAGCAUGGGGUCGCGCCGCCAUGUGCAAAAUAACCAAUGUGCACGCAACUAUACAAUCACAAAUUGCCUCCAUACAAGGACCAGGAAGAUGCAUUGCCAUCGUGAAUCACCAUCACCAUUGUUGAUGCAAUGACCGGCAGCCACGCUUCCCAAUUGAAUAAUUAAAUUGUAUGAAGAUAUGUAAACUAUGUAAAUAGCGCUACUCCCUCCACUCCAACAUAUUCAGUGUGCAUGCUCUACCCUAAUAAACAAGUUGAGCAUGCAACCAGUUAUGUUUACAAACUGAUAAAACCAGUUUUUAUGCGACUUGAGGCUUAUUGUGUUUGUUGCUACCGUUAAAGAGCUAUCUCUUUGCAAUCUUUGGCUUUUCUUCUAUGCAACCACCCUUUGGCAAUUGUGUCCUUAGCAACAAGUGGUCUUGCAUUCCAAAGGCAAUGCAAUUAGCUUAGUUUGGAUGUUUAGAUUAAGAGUUCCUAGUGUCCAUUUCUGCUUUCAUGUUACUGGAUAUCUUAGUUCCCUGAAUCAUAAUUAUUCCGCAAGAAGUUCUGAAACAAUGUAGCUUGCAUGGAUUGGAAAAUACAUUGUCUCUGCUGCUUUAAUCUAGCUGCAAUUACCAUUAUAGUUUGUCUGGUGUCCUCCAAAUGUCCACAAAGCGGCUCAGAGAAGUAACGAGCAGGAGCACUAUGUUUUUUUAGGAAAAGAAGGAGCACUGGUGUGUCCUAGAUCUACCGACCAAUUUGGUCUUGCGUGUCAGUUUUGUGUGGUGUUGUUUUAUCGUAAAAAAAAGACAGGUUCAUGCAAGAGCGCCGAGGUGCGCCCCAGAUCUUAGUGUGGGUCACUGGUGGAAGAGCAUCAAGGAAAGAAAUGGCAAGAGGCCAGGGCACAAGAGCAAUACCGACUUCUAUGUUUUCGCAUCAAUUUCCCCCAACGCCUCCUAUUCUUAAGUAAGACACGCAUCCAGACUCCGAUUCUUAGUCACAUGCUCUUUCAUUUUUGGCUUCUUGACAUGGCUACUAGGUACCACUUCACUAGACCGUUUUCUCUCCUAGGUUCCUGCUUUGGCUGCUACCGCUCCACUAUUCUACAUGGUUUGAUGAAUCAAUAGUACAUGGUGAAGAGGCAGACAUGGUUGGUAUAUAAAGACAUCAAAAGGUAUUGAUGGUUGAUAAGAUCUACAACAAAAAGGUAUGUGGGUGCAUUUCAUUCGCUUAGACUCUUCAAGAUAAUUAACUGAGAGCACCUCUGUAUUUAUGCACAUGAAUAGAGCAUACACAAAGUGGCAUCAUAGUAUUACUAACGAACAUGUGGUAGGUAUGGAGUCACUCCAGAUAGAUUUUUUUAACAUAUGCCUUAUACUCAUUCAAAUAUCACUUUAAGAUUUCUAGCUAGCCAUUUUUCCGAGAAGGGGAGUACUUCAGCCUCUACAUCACAUGAUGCACACAUGCAUACUAUUAAACAUGGAAUAAGUUCAAGUAACUGAGUACUAGAUGGUAAAACAAAUAAACGGAAAACACGACCACAUGCGGUCGAACCAGAGAUUAUCUAGCUCAUUCACAUAAUCUACGAGUGGCUCGUCAGCCAAACUGGUUGAACAAACCCUGUGCAACCAUUUCCAGCUGACUGCCUCCAGAGGCCAUAAGCGCUCACGUCCACACACUGCAGUGAUGACCACAUGCAAAUUAAAGUCAUAGGUUUGUAGAUAACCUGCAAUAAACUAGGAGAAGACAAUAUCUUUAAGACGUAAUCAUUCCAGCAAUUUCAUAUUGCCUAGAGAAUGGCAUAAACUCCCACACGAAUUUGGCCCUUCAGCAUAUGAUGAAUACCACCUAACCAGUUACUAAAAAAAUUGAAAUACUCGUUGGUGGUGCUAAAUUGUAUGUAACAUGAACCAUGCACCAGAUCAAGGUAGUAAACGGGCAUGACAAAAAUAAGUGAUGAAUUGUCUCCUCCUAAUCACAAAAAAAACAUUUUUGCUGUCAUGCCAGUUACACUUAGCAAGGUUAUCUUUGGUAAGAACUACAUCCCUCCGCAAAAUCCACACAAGAACUUCGAUCUUGCAAGGAACCUUUGUUUCCAAAUAUGCUUUCUGGGAAAAAUAGGUCCAGAAUCUAUGAGAUCCGCAUACAUAGACUUCAUAGUGAAGACACCAUUAGUGGUUAAUCUCCACUCGAAUUAAUCUUCCAUCUGAGUUAGAUUAAUUGACAUCAAUCUAGAACUCAAAUGCAUCCACUUAGUUCAUUUGUCACCCAGCAACGCCCUAAAAUAUUGGAUGUUCAAAGGGCCGCCCCGAAGAUCAGAAGCCACUGAAUCCUCUUUUCUGAACACAAAAGUAUACAUGGUCGAGUAUUGUAGAACUAAUGGCAUGUCACCCGACCAGGUAUCAUCCCAAUAACUCGUCGAUUGGUCAUCACCAAUCUUUAAGGAACCUCUCUUAAAAAAGGAUGAUUUGACAUUCAUCAAGCCUAUAGACCGGCAGUCCACGUCCUACCCCCUCCCCACCCCUUGCACCCCCCUGCCCCGCGCAGGAUGAUGCUUCCAGGAUAGGGUCGUCGUCGGUCGAAGCAUCACCAGACGCCGCUUGAUCCUUGCCGCAUUGGUUGCCUGAGCUCGUCAAUUCACUUCAAUGCUCGCCACCAUCGCAGCAUGUGGGUGCAAAACUAUCAUGUGCAUCAUCGGCUCACUCUGUAGGUUCUCCUGUCGCCGAUUGAAGCUUUUUUAAUCUACUGUUGAAGUUUUUGUGUCAAUGUAGCAGCUUUUUUGGUUGCGCGGUGCCCUGGUUGAAGCUUUUCUGUAAACGGUUGCAGCUUUUUCUGGUUGAGCAGUGAUUGAUUGAAGUUUUCUACAUCGUCAGUUGAAGCUUUUUCUGUCAAUGGUUGCAACACUGCAAUCGGUGGUUUCAACAUCGCCUUUGUCGGUCACGCGCCAUCGCUCGCGUUGGUUGCAAGCAAAAGGAUCCUAUAGUCCUAGCAUGUCAAGCCUCUGUUUCAGCACCCGCCCAUCACUCUUGCAGCAUGUUCCCCCGGCACAUUUGCAUCUCGUGUGUGGUAGAGUUGAGGAUUGCGUGUGAGGGAGAGGAAUAAGGAGGCACUGGUUGUGGCCGUUUCUCCGCCCCAUGAUGGUUCGCCCUAGUAGCAGGUGGCGGUGGUUGGUCUGCAGCAGCAGCACCCCAAUUCGCCCGACGGGUCGCGAUGGUGAGGGAAGAGAAGGCGAGCAACAUGUCCUGAAAAGGUAGAAGAAAGGAGUGUUGCUUAUGUAUAAGAAACGAGAGGUGGGGUAGGGCAUGGAAUAAAACAAAGGGGAGCGCAUGAUGGUGGGAUCUGACGUCGCUCGAGUGACCGACGCAAGCCGUGAUCAGUCAGCCAGGAGGAAUCAUUAGCAUCAAUAAAUUGUGAAACCCGCCAUAAAAUAAUAGUAUAUGUUUCCAAUGCCAAUAAAAAGUAACACAUCCAAUGGUAUUUAACAUCGAUAAAAUGGCCAAAUAAAACAUACGCCAACCAGAAAUAUCACAAGUACCGUUGCGCCUUGGGCCGUCGACAGAAGGCUUGGUGGGGAAAACCUCGGCGCGCCAAGUGAUUCGAUGUGCAACACCUCUAAUAUUUAUUUGUGUCUAAUAUUGUCAGGACAAACCUCUCGCCAAGCGGAAUAUAUUUUUCAGUAUUUUGGGUGUGAAUGAUGAACAAUCAAUGCGGGGAGAAAUAUUUGCAACAUGUCAUAUGGUUCUCCCUAUUUUUUGUAGUAUUUUCAAAGGGGUUUUCCCCCGGGCAUACGAGUGAACUAUUAAGCCGUGAAAAAAAUGACUUGCAAUCGUGCAAUAUCCAUGGUUUCUUACAACUUGUUUACUUAUAUUUUUCACUAGAGAAAAUCAAACGAUGCAUGGUUUAUUUGCAAUGAAUCAAGUGUUUUAAAAUACACAUGAUCUUUGGGGAACUCGCAUUUCACAAGCACUCAACAUUCUUGCAAUUUAUCAAGUGCUUUAAAUACAAAUUAUCUUUGGGGAGCUUGCAUUUCACAAGCACUCACGCUUCAUACGCAUAUCCUCACCAGUCACCAAAUACUUUCCCUAGAUUUGGAGGCAAACGGCGCACGAUGCCUCUCCAACUUCUAGCCAUAUCCCACUAUCUUCCAUCUCUCUUAUCGAACUCUCGGGGAGGGGAAUGACCACGAGAAUAACACAUGAAAGGGGUGAACACAACACAAAGAGGGGUUGCUCACUGGGAAGCUCAAUACUCCUUGUGUUCGCACAUGUGGCCGUGGAAGGAACUUCAUAGCCAAAUCAAGAGGAUGGCAAAGUCGUUGGGCUAGAAGGAGCAGACGUAAGAGGCCGGAGCACAAAACGGUGACCUUUUUCAAGCCUUUUCCGCCAAUUUUCCCCAAUGCUUCCUAUUCCUAAGACACACAUGAAAGUUUCUAGCUACGUCUUCUUCCAUUUUGCCUUUUCGUUUUUUGACACCGCUGCUACGUACCAUAUCAGUAGACCACUUUCUCUCCUUGGUGCUUUCCUUUGGCUGCUAGCACCUCACUAUUGUAUACUGUUUGAUGAAUCAAUAGUGUGUAGCGAAGACUCAAACAUGGGUGGUAUAUAAAGGGAGCAAAAGGUGCAUUCAUGGUUGAGGAGAUGCGCAACGAGAGGUGCAUUUCAUUCGGUCAGACUCUUCAAGAUACUUAACUGAGAGCGCUUCUGUGUUUGUGCACAUGAACAGAGCAUAUGUGAAAUAACAUCAUGCUAUUAUUGACAAAAAUCCAGUAGGUGUGGAGUCACUCUCAAUAGAUUUUGCAACUUGCCUUGUACUAUUACAAACAUUACAUUAGGAUCCCUAGCUAGCUAUGAGCCUGUUCACUGCAACAACAAAUGGGUCAGCAUUCCAGCUGCACACACAAAAAAAAAGUUAUGAAUUUUCCGAGGAAAAAAAUGUUAAUCUAUACAGGUAAAGGUUCCUCCUUCAAAACACCCCCCAUUUCCAUUCUCCAGGACCGGUCUACC